ACGGAGGGUGCAAGCGUUGUCCGGAUUUAUUGGGUUUAAAGGGUGCGUAGGCGGCCCUGUAAGUCAGUGGCGAAAGCCUCCAGCUCAACUGGAGAACUGCCAUUGAUACUGCAGGGCUUGAGUACAGACGAGGUUGGCGGAAUUGAUAGUGUAGCGGUGAAAUGCAUAGAUACUAUCAAGAACUCCGAUUGCGUAGGCAGCUAACUAGGCUGUAACUGACGCUGAGGCACGAAAGCUAGGGGAGCAAACAGGA
rnacentral:rRNA from 1 species